rnacentral:tRNA from 1 species
CGCGGGGUAGAGCAGCCCGGUAGCUCGUCAGGCUCAUAACCUGGAGGUCGUUGGUUCAAAUCCAGCCCCCGUAACCA